UACGGAGGGUGCAAGCGUUAUCCGGAUUCACUGGGUUUAAAGGGUGCGUAGGUGGGCAGGUAAGUCAGUGGUGAAAUCUCCGGGCUUAACUCGGAAACUGCCAUUGAUACUAUCUUUCUUGAAUACCGUGGAGGUCAGCGGAAUAUGUCAUGUAGCGGUGAAAUGCUUAGAUAUGACAUAGAACACCAAUUGCGAAGGCAG
rnacentral:rRNA from 1 species